GAAGAGAGAGUUCAAAAGGGCGUGAAAACCGCUUAGAAUAAAACGGACGGAGCCGUCUGUGACCCGUCGGAAUCAGUCGAAUCGAUGCGUGAAGGCGAGUAUGACAUAAAACGGAACGAAAGUCCGGUCGUCUCGUAGUAAACAGUAGCGCUCGUUCGAUGCAUUUCCGAAGGGUAAGCACCGCGACCGAUGUCGAAGGCUAGUGAAGCCGUCGGAUUGAGGUCGAGCUCGUUUCUCGAGUCUCGUUACCAGUCCUUCGGUAUGAAUAGAAUUCGCUGGACCCUAGCAUCGAGAAUAAAAGCGAAUGUCGGUGAACUAUACGCUCACCUGCUACGAUGGACGUGCGGCCGUUCGAUCRUCGCCUGCUCGCAGGUUAYGGUUUGAAUCAGGUUCGUAUCCGAAGUCGUCGGUGACRUUUUGACAUUCAGGCAUCCGCGGUGUCCGAGUCGGUCACCCGUCCGACCCGUCUUGAAACACGGACCAAGGAGUCUAACGUAAGCGCGAGCUAAUGGGUGGAAAACCUAUAAGCGAAAUAAAAGUAAAAGCCGUUUCGGACGGCCGAGGUACGAUCCCGAAGAACGAAGUAUCUUCGGGCGCAGUACCAUCCCGUCCCGACCGCUUGUCGGUAGGGCGGAGAUAGAGUGCAUACGUUGGGACCCGAAAGAUGGUGAACUAUGCCUGAGCAGAGCGAAGCCAGAGGAAACUCUGGUGGAGGUUCGUAGCGGUUCUGACGUGCAAAUCGAUCGUCAGA
rnacentral:rRNA from 1 species